GGAGGGGAGAGCUCAGUGGUAGGGUGUGUGCUUAGCAGGCAUGAGGUCCUGGGUUCAAUACCCAGUCCCUCCA
rnacentral:tRNA from 1 species